GAAUCUGCCCUCAGGAGGGGGAUAACGGUUGGAAACGACCGCUAAUACCCCAUAUGCCGAGAGGUGAAAUGAAUUUCGCCUGAGGAUGAGCCCGCGUCUGAUUAGCUUGUUGGUGAGGUAAUGGCUCACCAAGGCUUCGAUCAGUAGCUGGUCUGAGAGGAUGAUCAGCCACACUGGGACUGAGACACGGCCCAGACUCCUACGGGAGGCAGCAGUGGGGAAUUUUCCGCAAUGGGCGAAAGCCUGACGGAGCAACGCCGCGUGAGGGACGAAGGCCUCUGGGCUGUAAACCUCUUUUCUCAAGGAAGAAGAUAUGACGGUACUUGAGGAAUAAGCCACGGCUAAUUCCGUGCCAGCAGCCGCGGUAAUACGGGAGUGGCAAGCGUUAUCCGGAAUUAUUGGGCGUAAAGCGUCCGCAGGCGGCCUUUCAAGUCUGCUGUUAAAACGUGGAGCUUAACUCCAUCAUGGCAGUGGAAACUGAUUGGCUUGAGUAUGGUAGGGGCAGAGGGAAUUGCCGGUGUAGCGGUGAAAUGCGUAGAUAUCGGGAAGAACACCAGUGGCGAAGGCGCUCUGCUGGGCCAUUACUGACGCUCAUGGACGAAAGCCAGGGGAGCGAAAGGGAUUAGAUACCCCUGUAGUCCUGGCCGUAAACGAUGAACACUAGGUGUCGGGGGAAUCGACCCCUUCGGUGUCGUAGCUAACGCGUUAAGUGUUCCGCCUGGGGAGUACGCACGCAAGUGUGAAACUCAAAGGAAUUGACGGGGGCCCGCACAAGCGGUGGAGUAUGUGGUUUAAUUCGAUGCAACGCGAAGAACCUUACCAGGGCUUGACAUCCUGCGAACCUUUAAGAAAUUAGAGGGUGCCUUCGGGAACGCAGUGACAGGUGGUGCAUGGCUGUCGUCAGCUCGUGUCGUGAGACGUUGGGUUAAGUCCCGCAACGAGCGCAACCCACGUUUUUAGUUGCCAGCAUUUAGUUGGGCACUCUAGAAAGACCGCCGGUGAUAAACCGGAGGAAGGUGUGGAUGACGUCAAGUCAUCAUGCCCCUUACGUCCUGGGCUACACACGUACUACAAUGCUACGGACAAAGGGCAGCAAACUCGCGAGAGCUAGCAAAUCCCAUAAACCGUGGCUCAGUUCAGAUCGUAG
rnacentral:rRNA from 1 species